GGGGAUGCCCGGUUUCGACAGGGAGUGAGGUUAGUAAAUUGCAAGCCGAGGCGCUUGACCCUCGUUAAACUCAGGCAAACAAAUAAACGGCAACUAUAAUCAAGUCGCCCUCGCUGCCUAAUUAGGCGCGACGUUGUGCUGCAACCCUACCCCGACGGGUUGCAGCCAGCGUAAUCAAGUUCGGGGUGCUUCAAGGCCGAGCGCAGCCUAAGCCUUGACUAAGACCAGGUAGCCUGCCUGCAGCCAGUUCGUCAGCGGACGUGCCGCAGGCUAAAGCAAAACGCUGACUAAGCUUGUAGUAUAUUUGCGACAACGCUCUUUGGACGGGGGUUCGACUCCCCCCAUCUCCACCA
rnacentral:tmRNA from 1 species